rnacentral:rRNA from 1 species
UACGAAGGGGACUAGCGUUGUUCGGAAUUACUGGGCGUAAAGCGCACGUAGGCGGCUUUGUAAGUCAGGGGUGAAAUCCCGGGGCUCAACCUCGGAACUGCCUUUGAUACUGCAAGUCUCGAGUCCGAUAGAGGUGGGUGGAAUUCCUAGUGUAGAGGUGAAAUUCGUAGAUAUUAGGAAGAACACCGGUGGCGAAGGCGGCCCACUGGAUCGGUACUGACGCUGAGGUGCGAAAGCGUGGGGAGCAAACAGG